GACGGUGUGCAGCAAUCUUUGGCAGCCUGCUUUUCUUCAUCAUCGCUUGGCUCUCCCUCGCCUUCUCCACUAAAGCCCAUGAACAGAGCCAAAAGAUCACCAUCUCCUCUAUGAUCUACCCUCUGCUCAUCGCCCAGCGCUCGACGUUUUGUGAUGGACUUGUACGGAUGAAGCUUAGUACUUCAUUGAUGCAUUGGACGAACGCGCUGCGC
rnacentral:lncRNA from 1 species